rnacentral:rRNA from 1 species
GAUGAACGCUGGCGUCGUGCCUAAUACAUGCAAGUCGAGCGAACAGAUGAGGAGCUUGCUCCUCUGACGUUAGCGGCGGACGGGUGAGUAACACGUGGAUAACCUACCUAUAAGACUGGGGUAACUUCGGGAAACCGGAGCUAAUACCGGAUAAUAUAUUGAACCGCAUGGUUCAAUAGUGAAAGACGGUUUUGCUGUCACUUAUAGAUGGAUCCGCGCCGCAUUAGCUAGUUGGUAAGGUAACGGCUUACCAAGGCAACGAUGCGUAGCCGACCUGAGAGGGUGAUCGGCCACACUGGAACUGAGACACGGUCCAGACUCCUACGGGAGGCAGCAGUAGGGAAUCUUCCGCAAAGGGCGAAAGCCUGACGGAGCAACGCCGCGUGAGUGAUGAAGGUCUUCGGAUCGUAAAACUCUGUUAUUAGGGAAGAACAAAUGUGUAAGUAACUAUGCACGUCUUGACGGUACCUAAUCAGAAAGCCACGGCUAACUACGUG